UGAGCGUGGCGAAAAUUCAUUUUAUAGACAAGGUCUUUGUCUUGUUUGUGGUCAUCAAAUUUAGUUAAAAUAUUUAAAAAAUUAAAAACAACAACAACAAAAAAAAAUUAAAAAGUAAGAUAAAUUAUAUGAGAUCUUUAAUUUGUAUAUAAGAUAAUUUUAUUUUGUUCUAAUAUCUGUGUGAUGUUAGUUUAAAAUAUUAUUUUUUAAUAUAUUGAUUUUAUAUAUUAGGUAGGUGCCCAUUCUGUUCCUAGCUUCAGAAGUUAUUUAUACCUAUGCAAUACCUUCGCUCAGGUUAAAGAAUGGAAUACUAGUCUUGCAUCAAAUAUAUAUUACAUAUCCAUUCGAUGUUUAUCACCAGAAGUUAGUUCUACCUUUGCAGUACCUCUGCUUUACAUACCUCCUCGCUGGUUAAAGAAUGGAAUAUAAAUCUCAUAUCAAGUUGGUGUAAAAAUUUAGUUCAAUAAAUUAAGAAUUUAUAAACGUUCUCAAAAUUUUGAGUGGAGCAAUUGUUUUUCUGGUUUAGCAUGAGUAUGAAUCUGAUAUCAAUUGUAUGUACAAAGAUAGUUUACUUCUUAAAGAACCUAUCAGUAAACCAACUGAUUAUAAAACAGUUUUUAAUGGGAAUAAAAACAAAUUUUCAAAAGA